AUAGACUUCCCAUCGUCACAGU
rnacentral:miRNA from 1 species